AUGGCUAGACCGGCAGCGGUGAUUAUGUGCGCGGUAUUCAUAGUGGUGGUGCCGCUGAGCGCGGUGGUGGCGGAGUUGGAGUGCAGACCGCAGUUGCUCCUGGCUUGCGAUCCAGCCAUCAGAGACGGCAAGGCUCCUACGACAUUGUGCUGCUCGAACCUCCGAGCGGAGGAGGUGUGCAUCUGCAAGUACCGGCAGGAUCCGAUGUACCGGCGCUACAUCCCUGGCCCCUACUUCCCAGAGAUAACCACCUCAUGCGGCAUACAUCUUGAGUGUCUAUUUAUAUAA
rnacentral:rRNA from 1 species